rnacentral:rRNA from 1 species
CUGCGAUAAGCGCCGGUAAGGUGAUAUGAACCGUUAUAACCGGCGAUACCCGAAUGGGGAAACCCAGUGUGACUCGUCACACUAUCAUUAACUGAAUCCAUAGGUUAAUGAGGCGAACCGGGGGAACUGAAACAUCUAAGUACCCCGAGGAAAAGAAAUCAACCGAGAUUCCCCCAGUAGCGGCGAGCGAACGGGGAGGAGCCCAGAGCCUGAAUCAGCAUGUGUGUUAGUGGAAGCGUCUGGAAAGGCGCGCGAUACAGGGUGACAGCCCCGUACACAAAAGCGCAUGUGCUGUGAGCUCGAUGAGUAGGGCGGGACACGUGGUAUCCUGUCUGAAUAUGGGGGGACCAUCCUCCAAGGCUAAAUACUCCUGACUGACCGAUAGUGAACCAGUACCGUGAGGGAAAGGCGAAAAGAACCCCGGCGAGGGGAGUGAAAAAGAACCUGAAACCGUGUACGUACAAGCAGUGGGAGCCCCACCACCAAAGCAUUUGCUGUACCGCGUUGACGGAGCGAAGCGACGUCAAACCGAUAAAACAGCAGUGUAAAGUGAGCCGCAGGGCGCUUUGCGCGACAGCGCAAAGGCAGGCGGUUUCGCGUAGCGAAAGCGAAUGCUUUGGGGUGG